UAAGACGAACCGUGCGAACGUUAUUCGGAAUUACUGGGCUUAAAGCGCGUGUAGGCGGGCCGGCACGUCGAGCGUUGAAAUCCCCCGGCUCAACCGGGGAAGGGGCCUCGAUACGACCGGCCUGGAGGGGGGUAGGGGAAUCGGGAACUUCCGGUGGAGCGGUGAAAUGCGUUGAGAUCGGAAGGAACGCCCGCGGCGAAAGCGCGGUUCUGGACCCCACCUGACGCUGAGACGCGAAAGCCAGGGGAGCGAACGGGAUUAGAUACCCCGGUAGUCCUGGCCGUAAACCAUGGGCACUGGGUAGGGGGCUCGCCGAUGGGCUCCCUGCCGCAGCGAAAGCGUGAAGUGCCCCGCCUGGGGAGUAUGGUCGCAAGGCUG
rnacentral:rRNA from 1 species